CACGGAUAACAUACCGAAAGGUAUGCUAAUACGGGAUAAUAUAUUUGAGAGGCAUCUCUUAAAUAUCAAAGGUGAGCCAGUACAGGAUGGACCCGCGUCUGAUUAGCUAGUUGGUAAGGUAACGGCUUACCAAGGCGACGAUCAGUAGCCGACCUGAGAGGGUGAUCGGCCACAUUGGAACUGAGACACGGUCCAAACUCCUACGGGAGGCAGCAGUGGGGAAUAUUGCACAAUGGGCGAAAGCCUGAUGCAGCAACGCCGCGUGAGUGAUGAAGGCCUUCGGGUCGUAAAACUCUGUCCUCAAGGAAGAUAAUGACGGUACUUGAGGAGGAAGCCCCGGCUAACUACGUGCCAGCAGCCGCGGUAAUACGUAGGGGGCUAGCGUUAUCCGGAUUUACUGGGCGUAAAGGGUGCGUAGGCGGUCUUUCAAGUCAGGAGUGAAAGGCUACGGCUCAACCGUAGUAAGCUCUUGAAACUGGGAGACUUGAGUGCAGGAGAGGAGAGUGGAAUUCCUAGUGUAGCGGUGGAAUGCGUAGAUAUUAGGAGGAACACCAGUUGCGAAGGCGGCUCUCUGGACUGUAACUGACGCUGAGGCACGAAAGCGUGGGGAGCAAACAGGAUUAGAUACCCUGGUAGUCCACGCUGUAAACGAUGAGUACUAGGUGUCGGGGGUUACCCCCUUCGGUGCCGCAGCUAACG
rnacentral:rRNA from 1 species